UUGGAGCCCAUCGUAGUACAUGUCAAUGGGAGCAAGGUGUGAAAUGGACCUUCAAGGAGAGAAUAAAGCAAACAGAAACAUGUGGAGCCAGGAACUGGGGUCAUCGAGGGAUGCAACAUUUUACUUUCUUGUGGCAGGCUGCUCCCCACCUUGAAGUCUGCAUGCUGGCCCAGAGCCAGAGGAAGUAAAGCCCCAGCACUCGACCAUGCAGGGACAGCCAACUGCCCUGCCAAGGGGCCAGCUCGUCCUGGGGCUCCCUUGCACACCAGGCUCCAGCUACUGCCCCACAUCCUUUCAUCUUCCAUUCUCACUGGGCUUUUGUACACAUGGCCUCAUCUCCCUAGAAUGUCCUUGCCAACCUCAUUUGCCUGGCCAACUUUUCCUCCCUUCCAGGACUCAACCCAAAUAUCAAACUUCCCGGACAUCCACCUCCUCCUUAGUCUGAACUGGUCCUCCAUCCUCUCGUAACCCCUGUAUUCUGCUAUAUCCUUAGUUAUCACUGUGCACUGUAACUGUAACUUGCCUCCCCCACUUGCAAAUGAGG
rnacentral:lncRNA from 1 species